rnacentral:lncRNA from 1 species
GGGAGCUCAGGUGCAUGCAGUGCACCUGAGUGAUGAGAAGGGGUGGAGCCUGAAUCCACCCCUCCUCACUCCUCAUUUAAGGGUUAGCAGCGAAGGGAGUAGCAUCUUUCUGGAUACAGAUUGUGCUUCUUUCCUGUUAUUGCUGGCCAUUGGAAGGGUGCUGGUAUCUGACUGCAAAGUCAGUGGGACAGAGAUCGGGGUCUUGCUGGACAACCCUGGAGCAACAGAGACUCAGUCCCAACUAGAGGGCUUAGGAACUGCAGAAACAGCUACUGCUUGGGCUCAAUUCCAGACCACCAGUGGGUUUCCUGGAUGUUUCUUUGGGUAUGUGGUGACAAAGGUGUUCAGGAUCCUUGCUGUGGUUGUAAAAACCUUUUUACCUAGGUUAUAAACAGAUGUAGAUAAUGGACCUACCAGAUGGAGAAUGAAAUCUUGAAAGCAGAACUGAGAUCUGUAUUUCCAACUGAGAAAGCCAAAUACUGUAAAUAUAUAUAUUUGGACCCUGGACAUCUUUCCAAAAUCCCAGGGGAGAGGCAUUCCUGUUGGAUCAAGCACUUCAGUGGCUAGUGUAUGCUUCAUGCCAUUACCACAAGGAAUAUGGUGGCCUGGCACAUGGUAAUGGUGCUAAGGACAAGGCUGUCUAGUUGAGACAUCAUGGGUGAAAUGGUGGUGUGGCAAGGCCAUACACGGGAGUCAUCUACAAGGAUUACUGUCCAAGGAAAUCUUACACCUCCUUGGAAAGCAUGGACUCGAAUUCAGAAGUUUUUGGCUUUCCAAAGAGCUGCAAGU